CACAGUUUAUGAUCACAGAUUGGUUGAAUAGGUAGAAAUACCAGACUAAUGUUUGAGGUUUAACAUCGAAUUAUAUUUACGUUGCAAUUGAUUAAACUAAUCUACAAUCCGUAAAUCGACUUAAUGCGCCAGUGGAUUGGAUACUUGCAUUCAUUCUAGAAGUUGAUAGAUCACCGUAGUGAAUCUACUGCCAGCCAGGGGCCAC